UCUAGUUUGUGGUAAUAUGUUACAGCAGCCUUAGGAAACUAGUACAUCCUCCUCUAUGGCUUUUAAAUAGUUACAUCGGAAUAGCACAC